UACGUAGGGUGCAAGCGUUGUUCGGAAUUACUGGGCGUAAAGCGCACGUAGGCGGAUAUUUAAGUCAGGGGUGAAAUCCCGCAGCUCAACUGCGGAACUGCCUUUGAUACUGGAUAUCUUGAGUAUGGAAGAGGUGAGUGGAAUUCCGAGUGUAGAGGUGAAAUUCGUAGAUAUUCGGAGGAACACCAGUGGCGAAGGCGGCUCACUGGUCCAUAACUGACGCUGAGGUGCGAAAGCGUGGGGAGCAAACAGG
rnacentral:rRNA from 1 species